rnacentral:rRNA from 1 species
GACGAACGCUGGCGGCGUGCUUAACACAUGCAAGUCGAGCGGUAAGGCCCUUUCGGGGGUACACGAGCGGCGAACGGGUGAGUAACACGUGGGCGACCUACCUUCAGCUUCGGGAUAAGCCUGGGAAACCGGGUCUAAUACCGGAUAUGACUCCAUGACGCAUGUUGUGGGGUGGAAAGCCUUGUGCGGCUGAGGAUGGGCCCGCGGCCUAUCAGCUUGUUGGUGGGGUGANGGCCUACCAAGGCGACGACGGGUAGCCGGCCUGAGAGGGCGACCGGCCACACUGGGACUGAGACACGGCCCAGACUCCUACGGGAGGCAGCAGUGGGGAAUCUUGCGCAAUGGGCGAAAGCCUGACGCAGCGACGCCGCGUGAGGGAUGACGGCCUCGG